rnacentral:misc_RNA from 1 species
AAAGACUUAAAGGGAUCAAUACCAUUAUUCUUCAUCUUUUUGCCUCUCAUUUUUCACUUCACUUUAUUUUCUCUCUUCACUUUUCAAUCAAGAGAGAGAAAAGUAAUUUCAUUUCCAUCAUUCUCUCCACUCUCAAUUUCUCUCCUCUCCCUUUCUUUCUUAUCAUUUUUUCAAACAAAGAGUUCAUUUUUCAUCCCUUAGAUUUCUUGUAAUAACUUAGCUUCCGUUCAUUUUUUUACGCUUCUGUCCAAUUCUUCAUAAGCUAUGGGUAACGUCUUUUCAAUUCAAUGCAGCAGUGAUGCCUUGAUCGGUCGUUGCUGGGAUUGCAUUGCUGCUCAACCACUUUAUAUAUGUCAGCUUGAAGAUGAUCUUCAAGAACUCGAGACUGCAAGAGAUAAAUUAAUAGAGUUGAAGAACGAUGUGGAGCGUAAGGUCACCAGUGAGGGAACAUCACAAACAGUGCUGCUGGAUCGAGUUCGAGGAUGGCUUUCAAGGGUGGAUGCUACCGUUACUGAAGUUAGUUCUCUACUCAACAGAGCUGUACAAGAAAGACAGAAAUUGUGUCUCGCAGGCUGUUGCUCCAAGAAUUGCAAGUCCACCUGCAUGUUGGGGAAAAGUGUUUCCCGAAGUCUCAAACAUGUGGUUGCUUUGAUGAGUGAAGGUGAAUUCAAAGAAGUGGUU